rnacentral:lncRNA from 1 species
AGCCAGUCACAAAAGACCACUCAUUGUGUAAUUCCAUUUAUAUGAAAUGUUUAGAGAAGGCAAAUCCAUAGACACAGAAAGUAGAUUAGCAGUUGCCAGGGCUGGUGAGGCAGGGGAGGCAGGCUAGGGGGAAAUGUGGAGGGACUGCUAAUGGGUGCAGGGUUUCUUUUAGGGGUGAUGAAAAUGUUCUAAAAUUAAUUGUGGGCCGGGCACCGUGGCUCACACCUGUAAUGCCAGCACUUUGAGAGAGGUCGAGGCGGGCAGAUCACUUGAGGUCAGGAGUUUGAGACUAGUCUAGCCAACAUGGUGAAACCCGUCUCUACUAAAAAUACAAAAAUUAGCCAGGCGUGGUGGUGUGUGCCUGUAGUCUCAGCUACUUGGGAGGCUGAGGCUGGAGAAGCACUUGAACCUGGGAGGCAGAGGUUGCAGUGAGCUGAGAUCACGCCACUGCACUCCAACCUGGGUGACAGACUGAGAUUCUGUCUCAGACAAAAAAAAAAAAAGAAGGUGAAUUAUAUGGCAUAAGAAUUAUAUCUCCAUAAAGCUGCUAUAUAUAUAUGUAUAUAUAUGGUUUUUUUUUUGUUUUUUUUGUUUUUUUUUUUGAGAUGG